rnacentral:rRNA from 1 species
CGCGAUUCGCCCUUCGGGGUGCCCAGGCGCGAAAACUUUGCAAUACACGAAAGUGUGACAGGGUCAUCCCGAGUGCCGACCGCUGAGGUUGGCUUUUACCCAGUCUAGAAAGCUGGGGGAAUAAGGAGAGGGCAAGUCUGGUGUCAGCCGCCGCGGUAAUACCAGCUCUCCGAGUGGUGUGGACGUUUAUUGGGCCUAAAGCAUCCGUAGCUGGCUGAACAAGUCCCCUGUUAAACCCACCGAUUUAAUCGUUGGUCUGCGGGGGAUACUGCUCGGCUAGGGGACGAGAGAGGCAGACGGUAUUCCCGGGGUAGGGGUGAAAUCCUAUAAUCCCGAGAAGACCACCAGUGGCGAAGGCUGUCUGCUAGAACGCGCCCGACGGUGAGGGGUGAAAGCUGGGGGAGCGAACCGGAUUAGAUACCCGGGUAGUCCCAGCUGUAAACGAUGCAGACUAGGUGUUUGGACGGCCACGUGCCGUUCUAGUGCCGCAGGGAAGCUGUUAAGUCUGCCGCCUGGGGAGUACGAUCGCAAGAUUGAAACUUAAAGGAAUUGGCGGGGGAGCAC